GCAAGCAAAUAUUAGAAGAGUUAUGUUUAAAUGUUUACAUUGCAUGGUUCAACAAACACCUCUAGCGAACACAGUGUGUUCAGACAAAUACUUUACCGACCAAAAGGGGAGAGGGGGCCUGGGUUACCUAACUUACACCUUUACUACUUGUCAGCACAACUUGCACAGAUUAGAGAACUUUGCAUGAACCCCAUAUGUAUGUGCAGCAGCAAGAGCCCCAUUGACAUUUUUUGAAACACUUUGCAUGAAGGAAACCCCUCAAAAAGGCCCGAUUACAACCAUCUAAUCACAACUAACUGCCCCCGACAGAGAGACACUCACUUAUGUUACUUAAUGGGAAAAAGACUUACAACAGACGUUGGAGGGUGGGGACUAGCAAGGCAUCUGGGAGACAGCAGCUAAAGUCACUAUUUGCGUGACUUUACAGGAACAGUUAUAUAAGACGAUCAUGAGGUGAAAUACCACUCAAACAAUUCAGAAUGGGGAACACUCCUACAGAUGUUUGCUGGUGGGGUGGCUGGGCAAAAGGGACAUAUAUCCACAUGACAUUACUCGGAAAAAAAAAAUAUGGAUGUUUUAGAGCAGUAAAACAUAUAAUGCUAAUGAUAUCAUUUGUGAAAGGGCAGUUUAUCUGUGAAAAAUGCAAACUAACAAAUAUGAAUGCUAAUUGUGGCCAGUGUUUGUGGCUACUAAAAAAGACUGGACAUACCCCAUUUUGCAUACCCUGGGUUGUCUACUUUUGCAAAUGGUAUUCCAUGAUGGGGGUAUUUUUCAUAACUUGGCUGCUAUACGGUCUCAAAUGCAACAUAACCAAUCUAGCAAAUUUUAUGUGUAUAAACUGAAAAGGGGGAACAUGCUAUAUUUGACCCUGUAAUUUUUAAAAACCCAAAAAACCUGUACAUCGGGGGUACUGUUGUAUUUGUGAGACACAG